rnacentral:lncRNA from 1 species
CACACCUCGCAUACUCGGUGUACGGCUGCUUCUCCCGAUAUCCGCACAGCUUCACUUCGCAAACAGCCACUGAGACCUCAACAUUAGAAUCUAGUGUCGUGUCCACAAGCCGAGGACCAUGGGGAAGGGAAUGCUGAAGGAUGUUGCUCAAGGAGCGCAGAAGGAAGACAGGAUUGCUGGCAGGGCUUAUGAAGAGCGGAUGAAGGAGAGAGAAAGGCAAAAGCAAAAACGAGCCGAAGAAAAGCGCCGCAUCCAGGAGCAGAACCAGAAGGCGCAGAAAACGUAGGCUGGCAGAUGGAGGAGGCUGAGGAGGUGGAAGGCCGGGUCCCUCCCCAUCAACACCUGUUUCCAUGGGACCUGCACCUGCCGAGCCGGAGCAUCGGCUUGGACUGUCCCGCCCCGACGCUCCAGCGCCGCAGCGGGAAGGUGUCGGAGCAGCUGCCUCGUCCGUCCGGCUCUCAUAGAAGCAUUCGAUGUUGAUGUACUUGUUUCAUCAUUGUUUUAUGUGAUUAUGUAAACUAUUUUACAUACAUUUUUCA